AGUGGCGAACGGGUGAGUAACACGUGACCAACCUGCCUCUCACAUUGGGAUAACUUAGAGAAAUCUAAGCUAAUACCAAAUACUCUUGAUCUGCCGCAUGACAGACCAAGGAAAGCUUUCGCGGUGAGAGAUGGGGUCGCGGCCCAUUAGGUAGUAGGUAGGGUAAUGGCCUACCUAGGCGACGAUACAUAGCCGACCUGAGAGGGUGAUCGGCCACACUGGGACUGAGACACGGCCCAGACUCCUACGGGAGGCAGCAGUAGGGAAUCUUCGGCAAUGGGGGGAACCCUGACCGAGCAACGCCGCGUGAGUGAAGAAGGUUUUCGGAUCGUAAAGCUCUGUUGUUAAGGAAGAACGAGUGUGAGAAUGGAAAGUUCAUACUGUGACGGUACUUAACCAGAAAGGGACGGCUAACUACGUGCCAGCAGCCGCGGUAAUACGUAGGUCCCGAGCGUUGUCCGGAUUUAUUGGGCGUAAAGCGAGCGCAGGCGGUUAGAAAAGUCUGAAGUGAAAGGCAGUGGCUCAACCAUUGUAGGCUUUGGAAACUGUUUAACUUGAGUGCAGAAGGGGAGAGUGGAAUUCCAUGUGUAGCGGUGAAAUGCGUAGAUAUAUGGAGGAACACCGGU
rnacentral:rRNA from 1 species